rnacentral:lncRNA from 1 species
UAGAGAUGACAGAAAAAAUGUUUGAGUGAGAGAGAUGAAGGAGAAAGAGUUGAGAGGAAUGAAGGAGGUGAGUAAGGGUUUGGGUUUUUUUUUUUUUAGUUUUGAGAAUAAAAAUUUUUAGAAUAAAACAAAUGUUUCUAAUUUUUUUCAAUUGGGACUAGAGUAGGGAUGACAGAGAAAAGGUUGGAGUGGAAGAGAUGAAAGAGAAAGGAUUGAGAGGAAUGAAAGAGGUGGAUAAGGGUUUGGGAGUUUCUUUUUUUAUUUUUUU